AGUGCAGAAUAACCCUGCGAAAGCAGAGCUAAUACUGCAUGUGGUUGUCGGAUGGCAUCAUCUGACAACUAAAGUCGCAAGACGCUCUCAGAUGGGCCCGCGGCCUAUUAGCUAGUUGGUGAGGUAACGGCCCACCAAGGCUGUGAUGGGUAGCUGGUCUGAGAGGACGGACAGCCACACUGGGACUGAGACACGGCCCAG
rnacentral:rRNA from 1 species